CGGCGUGCCUGACCCACAGGGCUGUGCUCUCCCACCGCGUGCAUUCACUGCAAAGCUGUUUGUGGCACAGGCAGAUUCCAGCAGCCAGGAGCUGUGGUGUUGUUAUGGGAAACUGCUGAAACAUUGUCUGUUCCCACAUGGAAAUCUCUGUCAGAGGCAGAUUGCACUGUUGUAUUUUAGACUGUGGUGCCUGCUCACAUUAUCCCUCGCUGACGUACAGUGAUGAUGCAUAUGUUGGAUCUCACAAUGCUGAGAGAAUUAAAGCUUUGGAAGUGUUUACCUCCCCCAUUAUUGAUGUUCUGUCAGUUGCAGCGUGCUCAUAUUGUCUGCAGAGAAACUAAAGGCAGUGAUAAAAAUCACUGAGCUUCUCUUCUCAUCUAAAUCUCCAGGAGCAGAGCUGUCUUCAGAGGUUCUCUCGCCUGAUACCUGAACUAGUGACUGUGAACACGACGUGCACCGUGUGAAGCCAAAUAACCCUCCAGGAAUUCUUUCUAUUAAAAUAAUUGCUAGGGCAGGGGAAUACUGCAAACAGCUGUGGUUCAUCCCAUAAACAUAUUCUGCCUCCUUUUGGAGCCUCAGCCUCCAACUGAUGCCAGAGCCUGUCAGCUGCAGGAGCAGUGGAACAUAUUUCCUUUGCAGAAAUGAAACGAUUACUGAUGAAUAAAUCUGUUGUGCACAGACCUGAACUCCCCAGUGCGUGCUGCAUAUGCAAGAGGGAAAAGUGACAGUGUUUCACCCUGGAACGAGCUGGAGCGACACUUCAUCUGCUGAGCCGUGGAGCUGCUGUGUGUCAGCAGCCUAGCAACACUGAGCGUGAGGGAAAAAUGCCCCAAAAUCAGUCCAGCACUCAAUGGCAUCACCUUGCCAUGCAGUGCCCUUGCUCUGGCAGGGAAGCAGCUGUCCCAUGUCCUGGGAUGUGCUGAGGGAGGCUCCCUGCAAGCCCAGCAUCCUCCUUUUGGCAGUCUGGUGGCACAGGGCUGAGCUGGGGAGGGUGGGGGCCCUGGGACCAGGGGGUCUUGAGGUCCCUGGGUGGGGGCAAUGGGCACUUCCAGGCUGUUUGCUGCUACAGCAACCCAGGCAAGAGAUGAGUCCCUGGCUCCACCGAUCCCCGAGCUGAUGCCUGGAGUGGAGGGGAGAUGAGAUGGACCAGAGAAAUCCCUGCAGCUGUGAGGGGACGUGAAGGAAAAAUCACAGAGGUCACUGAGACCUGUAUGUGCCCUAGCUGCCUGGGCUCAGUGUCACGGAGCCAAACCCUCUGUCAGGCCGGUUUAUUUCUGUCAUCACGCCUGAGGGAGGAUGAGCAGCGGGCACGGAUGCCCUGAUGUGCUGGUGGCUGUCACCAGCCCCUGUGUCACAGAGGUGCUCCUGCCACCUGCCUGCAGCAAGGUGAGGCUCCGCAGGGACUGGGAGCACUGCUCGCCCAGCCCUCCACUGCCUGUCGGGUUGCUCAAACAGCCUGCACUGCAUUUGCAAAAUAUUGUUAAUCAAGAGCCGCGGUUCAAGGCGUUUGACUGGCACACCCAGUUAAGCGGCAGCAAACACGCUGUAAAACCACUGUGCUGGGGCCACCUUCCUAAUGAAUGCAAAGUGGAGCAAUCAAUCAGGGCCGGCAGCCAGCGCUGGCACCGCCUCUGCAAAUGCAAAUUGGAGGAACAAUAACGAGCGUUAUCUAAUUAGUGCACGCAGCUGCAGUGUUACAGCCCUGUAUAGGACACACCUUGUUAAAUUUCAUGGUGUGUAUCCCAGAGCGUCUGAGAAGAUGAUGGAGGUUUGCACGUGCACACCUUGCAGAGCACAGACAGGUGGAGCCUUGGUGAUAAAUGCAUUACUCUCAGCAGGUGAGCUCUGGAUUGAGCAGAGCCAGGAUGGGCAGCAGACUGGAAUGGACCUUGCUGUCCAAGGGUCAGACCCCAGUGAGCCUCCUCCUCUAGCCCAGGCUCCAGCACCUGCUCUUAGCACCAAGAGGAAGAACACCUGGGGCCACAUUUUUCCGUGAGGCACUUUUACUCAAAUCCACGUCAGAAAUUUGGUGAAAGAAAUAUUUCAGGCAAUUCUUUCGCCUUUGUCGCUUUAAUGUUCAGCAAUAUCUGUUCUUCCUGUAAGAUCCCUGGUGACACUGCAGGGGAUGGUGGGAUGGUGUUUAAAUAUUGAUGUUUUAGCAGCUUAUGGUUUUAAUACAAUUUAAAUUAUGCACAUUUUUAUUGGACUCAUAGGUUCAUCAGCAAUUAGUCUCUCCCAGCUGCACAGGAGGGUGUUCAGCAGCUCUGUAUUGAUUUCUGCCUCAACCUCUGAAUUUUAGAGACUGGCAACAUCUUAGUGCCUUGGCAAGGUAAACAAAUCCACAGGCCCUUACUCGAGAGCUGCUGGUUAGCAGCCAUAAAUGUGUAAUCAACAACUCAGUAUCCUUGGAAUUAGAUCUUCUUAACAAUCAUUAGUUUCAUCCCUUGCCGCUUUAAUAAACCUCUUGGUAGCAGGCCAGAGCCAAUUAUACGUGUGCUUGGAAAAUUAUAAAAGGAGAAAAAGUCUGUGUUGCCACAAGUAAGUGAAAAUUUUAACUGGCCCAAACCUGUGGCACGUGUGGGACUCAUCUGUUGUUUAUCAGAGGCUGAGCAGUGAGUACUGGAGACACAUUAGAGAAAUUCUGUAUUUAUUUUGCACAUUAUAGGUUCUUCCACCUGAUGCCAAGCUGGCAUCAGUGCACAAGUCCUGCAGCCCCUUUCACAUUUCUUCUGUGGGCUCUGUGGACCAGAGCCCCCUGCCCAGCACGAGCCAGGGUUGUGAGAGCUGCAGUGAACUGACAUUGACUCCGAGAUGUUUUGUGGCAGGAUCCCUGCCUGGUGAUGCACGGCAAUGCUCAGGAGGAGGGUGGCUGGCAUGACACAGUGACCAAAUGACUUAUUUAUCUUCUGAGUGUGACGGGGAACUGCUCAGCCUGGGGCCCCAGAGGCUGGUUUUCCAUUUCCCCCUCCCUCUGCAGCCCUGGGCAGCUCAUGGAACAUCCCUGGGACCAGCGCUCUGCUCCCACACAUCCCUGUCUCUUGGAAUGAGCCUUGGGGAAGAGCUUGGAGCCCUGGAGUGCUCACUCUGUUCCUGUUUUGUUCCCAGUGCAGGGGGAUAUAACAGAUGAACACCCCUGAAUCACAAAGUUUUUGUUUACAUUUGGUUUCUGUUCAUUCAGAGGGACUUUUGCAAGGGGCAGUGAGAAGAGAACGUGCAUCUGCACCAAGUCCAGUGGUUGUGUGGGCUC